rnacentral:rRNA from 1 species
GACGAACGCUGGCGGCGUGCCUAAUACAUGCAAGUUGAGCGCUGAAGGUUGGUACUUGUACCAACUGGAUGAGCAGCGAACGGGUGAGUAACGCGUGGGGAAUCUGCCUUUGAGCGGGGGACAACAUUUGGAAACGAAUGCUAAUACCGCAUAAAAACUUUAAACACAAGUUUUAAGUUUGAAAGAUGCAAUUGCAUCACUCAAAGAUGAUCCCGCGUUGUAUUAGCUAGUUGGUGAGGUAAAGGCUCACCAAGGCGAUGAUACAUAGCCGACCCGAGAGGGUGAUCGGCCACAAUGGGACUGAGACACGGCCCAAACUCCUACGGGAGGCAGCAGUAGGGAAUCUUCGGCAAUGGACGAAAGUCUGACCGAGCAACGCCGCGUGAGUGAAGAAGGUUUUCGGAUCGUAAAACUCUGUUGGUAGAGAAGAACGUUGGUGAGAGUGGAAAGCUCAUCAAGUGACGGUAACUACCCAGAAAGGGACGGCUAACUACGUG